GGAUGAACGCUAGCGACAGGCCUAACACAUGCAAGUCGAGGGGCAGCAUAAAAGUAGCAAUACUUUGGUGGCGACCGGCGCACGGGUGAGUAACACGUAUGCAACCUACCUUCAACACUGGAAUAACCCGUUGAAAGACGGCCUAAUACCGGAUAACACAGGGGCUCCGCAUGGAGAUAUUUGUUAAAGAUUUAUUGGUUGAAGAUGGGCAUGCGCAUGAUUAGUUAGUUGGUAAGGUAACGGCUUACCAAGGCAACGAUCAUUAGGGGUUCUGAGAGGAAGGUCCCCCACACUGGUACUGAGACACGGACCAGACUCCUACGGGAGGCAGCAGUGAGGAAUAUUGGUCAAUGGGCGAGAGCCUGAACCAGCCAAGUCGCGUGCAGGAUGAAGGUGCUAUGCAUUGUAAACUGCUUUUGUAAGGGAAUAAAAUGAGCUACGUGUAGUUUAUGUAUGUACUUUAUGAAUAAGGAUCGGCUAACUCCGUGCCAGCAGCCGCGGUAAUACGGAGGAUCCGAGCGUUAUCCGGAUUUAUUGGGUUUAAAGGGUGCGUAGGCGGAAGAUUAAGUCAGUGGUGAAAGUUUGCAGCUUAACUGUAAAAUUGCCAUUGAAACUGAUUUUCUAGAGUGCAAAUGAGGUAGGCGGAAUGUGUUGUGUAGCGGUGAAAUGCAUAGAUAUAACACAGAACACCAAUUGCGAAGGCAGCUUACUGGGAUGCAACUGACGCUGAGGCACGAAAGCGUGGGGAUCAAACAGGAUUAGAUACCCUGGUAGUCCACGCAGUAAACGAUGAAUACUAACUGUUUGCGAUAUACAGUAAGCGGUACAGCGAAAGCGUUAAGUAUUCCACCUGGGGAGUACGUUCGCAAGAAUGAAACUCAAAGGAAUUGACGGGGGCCCGCACAAGCGGAGGAACAUGUGGUUUAAUUCGAUGAUACGCGAGGAACCUUACCCGGGCUUGAAAUGCAGAAGACGAAGAGUGAAAGCUUUUUUCCAGCAAUGGCUUCUGUGUAGGUGCUGCAUGGUUGUCGUCAGCUCGUGCCGUGAGGUGUCGGCUUAAGUGCCAUAACGAGCGCAACCCCUAUCAUUAGUUACUAACAGGUCAAGCUGAGGACUCUAGUGAGACUGCCACCGUAAGGUGUGAGGAAGGUGGGGAUGACGUCAAAUCAGCACGGCCCUUACGUCCAGGGCGACACACGUGUUACAAUGGGAGGUACAGAGGGUUGCUACCAAGCGAUUGGAUGCUAAUCUCUUAAAGCCUCUCUCAGUUCGGAUCGAAGUCUGCAACUCGACUUCGUGAAGCUGGAUUCGCUAGUAAUCGCGCAUCAGCCAUGGCGCGGUGAAUACGUUCCCGGGCCUUGUACACACCGCCCGUCAAGCCAUGGAAGCCGGGGGGACCUGAAGUACGUAACCGUAAGGAGCGUCCUAGGGUAAAACUGGUAACUGGGGCUA
rnacentral:rRNA from 1 species